rnacentral:rRNA from 1 species
AGUGAACGCUGGCGGCGUGCUUAACACAUGCAAGUCGAGCGAGAACGGAUUAUAGCUUGCUAUAAUUGUCAGCUAAGUGGCGCACGGGUGAGUAAUGUAUAGGUAAUAUGCCUCUUACUAAGGGAUAACAAAUGGAAACGUUUGCUAAUACCUUAUACUCCUUAUUAACAGAAGUUAAUAAGGGAAAGAUUUAUUGGUAAGAGAUUGGCCUGUAUUGUAUCAGUUAGUUGGUGGGGUAAUGGCUUACCAAGACUAUGACACAUAACUGGUUUGAGAGGAUGAUCAGUCACACUGGAACUGAGACACGGUCCAGACUCCUACGGGAGGCAGCAGUGGGGAAUAUUGCACAAUGGACGAAAGUCUGAUGCAGCAACGCCGCGUGGAGGAUGACACAUUUCGGUGCGUAAACUCCUUUUAUAUGAGAAGAUAAUGACGGUAUUAUAUGAAUAAGCACCGGUUAACUCCGUGCCAGCCGCCGCCGUAA